AAGGGGGGUCACACUCAGAGGCUUGCUAUUUGAAAGGGGUCACCAGUACAAAAGUUUGAGAACCACUGAUAUAACUGAUUAUUUGGUCAGGGAAAGGUUUCACAUUAUCUACCUUUGCCUGUUUAUUGACCUGAAAAAGGUUUUUGGGAACAAGCCAGUGUAAGGCUAUGAAGGAGAAUGAGGAUGUGUACUUCAGCCUCACUGUAGGAAUGAGUCAAGUGGGUAUGUAUUGUGACACAAAAGGGUCCACAUGGCUAGCAACAAGUAAUCAAGAGUCAGAGGUGGGAGGACAUGGAGAAAUGGAGAGAGGAAAAAGGGAGCCAGAAAAAAGCCGAACAGGAGGGAAGAGCCCGAGUGGACAUUAUGGAGAUGAAUGGAGGAACUCAGGAAAGGUGUAGGGAGCAAGAAGGGGGAGCUUGGGAGGAGGUUAUGCAGCAGGCUGGGGGAACCUGAGGGCAGAUCAUGGAACUGGAUAGAAGACUCCAGGAGGAAAUCACAGAGCAGGCUAUGGGAGCCCAAGGGAAGAUCAUGGAACUGGAUGGAAGAGCCUGAGAGGAAGUCACAGAGCAAGCUGGGGGAACCCGAGGGAAGAUCAUGGAGUUGAGUGGAAGAGCCCAGGCAGAGGUCAUGGAGCAGGCUGGGGGAGCCCAAGAGAAGAUCAUGGAGCUGGAUGGAAGAGCCCAAGAAGUGGUCACAGAGCAGACUGUGGGAGCCCAAGGGAAGAUCAUAAGAGUUGGACGAAAGAGCCUGGGUAGAGGUCAUGGAGUGGGCUGGAAAAGACAAAGGGGAAGAUGAUGGAGCUGGCUGUAGGAGUCCAGGUGGAAGUCACGGAGCAGGCUCGGGAAGGCCAGGAAGUGGGCAUGAAGCUGGUGAAGGACCUGUUGGCAGUGGUUGCCACUUCUGCUCUUCCCCAAUAUGAUAAGACAAUUGGAGUUUGUGACCCUGCAGUUUAUGAUGGGGGGUAAUGUACACCUGGUCGGGGAAUUGCAGAGCCAACACACAGUGGAAGAGUUCCAACAGGAAGUGUUUGCUAAGUUCCCCAUACCAGCAUUCCGUGUGACUAGCACAGUGGCCUGUAAUCAAGCGACCGGCCGCAGGGCUGAGAGAGGCCUCUCACUCCAUGAAUUUGGCUGCUCCAGGCAUCAGGACAGAAUCUACUAACAGCUUAUCUUCUUCCUGUGCAGAGCCUCCUCCUUGAUAUGCUGGGUUGGGCUAGAUCUUGCUGGAGAUGCUACAGCAGCUGAAGUGAUGUAUCUACUAUAACCUAGUGGCCCUGGUUGGGGUGAUUGUGCAAGCAGACCCAGACCCAGAGCUGGAUCUAGAGCAGGAGGUGAAGGCACUGCGGUGGCUGAAGUGCCUGCUGGAUGGAGUCUUCUGUUGUGAUUUGUUGCCAGGCCAUGAGGGGACAGAGCAAGAGAUGCAGGUUCAGGUGGCUGUCUACUAGUCAGGCUGGCCUCAGCGGGCCCUAGAGGUUAAGAGAGCAGCCUGCCAGGCAUUACGAGCGGCCCUGAAGUUCUGAACAGGCAACAUGCGAGGAUGCAUCAGUGUUACAGUGGCUCCUGUAUUACGAUUGAAGAGCUCAAUUAUCACUGGAAAAUCAAUUCCAAUUUUGUCCCAGUUAUGCAUGUGCUUUUAAUUUUGAAAAUACUUAUUGCUUAAUAUUUGUUGCAAAACAAAACCACUUUAGGUAUCUGCAUUCUGACAUCACAAAUAUCCAAUAUUAAUUAAACAGGUGACUAACCUUCAGAGCCAAAGUGUGCUAUAGCAAAAUAUGGAAGCUGAAUGGCUCAAUGAACGUUGUGUUUUGAAUUAUAGCUACUAAGCAGCGACAUUUGGAAGAUUUCCAAGUACCAUAGCUUUCUCCUGGCCUGUAAAUUAUGGAAUGAGCCCAGUUUGCAACAUUUAUGGUUUAGAUGAGUUUUUUUCACCCCAACACUAUCCCUAUAUUUGUUGGACUUGUCUUUGCAACUGAAAUGGAUUGUAAGCUCCUAUGAUCAUUUCACCUCUUUAGGAUACAGUCCCCUUGUUUCAAAAAAGCUUUAUUCCAUUCUUGUCUGCUUGAUUUUUAUACACAGAAAUUUCCUGAGGUGAUGAAAAUAGCAAAAGCAUAAAUGAACUGAAUAUUUUCUUUUUUUGGUUCAAUUUUUAUUGGGAAUCCUCUAUUAAGAGCAGCCAUACUGAUCAGACCAAUGGUCCAUCUAGCCUAGUAUCCUGUCUUUCAACAAGCUGCUUCACUGGGAAUUAAAAGAAGAGGGAAAUUAUAG